rnacentral:rRNA from 1 species
UACGAAGGGUGCAAGCGUUACUCGGAAUUACUGGGCGUAAAGCGUGCGUAGGUGGUUCGUUAAGUCUGAUGUGAAAGCCCUGGGCUCAACCUGGGAAUGGCAUUGGAAACUGGCGACCUAGAGUGCGGUAGAGGGUAGUGGAAUUCCCGGUGUAGCAGUGAAAUGCGUAGAUAUCGGGAGGAACACCAGUGGCGAAGGCGGUUACCUGGACCGACAUUGACGCUGAGGAGCGAAAGCUAGGGGAGCAAACGGG